GAACCGGGCGAACGUUAUUCGGAAUUACUGGGCUUAAAGGGUGCGUAGGCGGCGCUAUAAGUCGGGUGUGAAAUCCCACGGCUCAACCGUGGAACUGCGCCCGAUACUGUAGUGCUUGAGGAAGAUAGAGGUGAGCGGAACGAAUGGUGGAGCGGUGAAAUGCGUUGAUAUCAUUCGGAACACCCGUGGCGAAAGCGGCUCACUGGGUCUUUUCUGACGCUGAGGCACGAAAGCUAGGGGAGCGAACGGGGAUUAGAUACCCCGGUAGUCCUAGCUGUAAACGAUGAGCACUAGAUCGGGGAGGCCUGAGCCCUCCCCCCGAUCGUAGCGAAAGUGUUAAGUGCUCCGCCUGGGGAGUAUGGUCGCAAGGCUG
rnacentral:rRNA from 1 species